CAGGAAAAUCCUCCACAGUCACCUGAGCAAACCGCCCCAGAGGACACAGAGGUUACAGGGACACAGCAACACUCUGUUGAAGAAAGCGCCCCGGGAAUGUCAGCAGAGGAUGCUCCCUCAACUAGUGCUCCAAGAAUCACCAAAACCCAACCCAGGAGGAGAGGUGUGGAGGACAUUCUCACCGCUAUGGAGGCCAUGGAAGGAAGACUGGGCGCCUCAAUCACCAACUUGCAAGAGAGGAUGACCAUGGUGGAGGGGCGUCUGAGAAGACUGGCGCGAAGGGUGUCCACCCUUGAACGGCGUGACCGGCG